rnacentral:rRNA from 1 species
UGAACGCUAGCGGCAGGCCUAAUACAUGCAAGUCGAGGGGCAUUUCUGCUUUCGGGCAGAAGCGACCGGCGCACGGGUGCGUAACGCGUAUGCAACCUACCCACAACUGGGGGAUAGCCCGGAGAAAUCCGGAUUAAUACCCCAUAAUGCAUUGAAACCACAUGGUUUUAUUUGCUAAAGAUUUAUUGGUUGUGGAUGGGCAUGCGUCUGAUUAGUUAGUUGGUGAGGUAACGGCUCACCAAGGCAACGAUCAGUAGGGGGUCUGAGAGGAUGAUCCCCCACACUGGUACUGAGAUACGGACCAGACUCCUACGGGAGGCAGCAGUAGGGAAUAUUGGUCAAUGGGCGCAAGCCUGAACCAGCCAUGCCGCGUGCAGGAUGACGGCCUUCUGGGUUGUAAACUGCUUUUAUCAGGGAAGAAAACGGCCAUGCGUGGCAGAUUGACGGUACCUGAAGAAUAAGCACCGGCUAACUCC